rnacentral:rRNA from 1 species
AACGUACGCUGGCGGCACGCCUAACACAUGCAAGUCGAACGAAGUAGCAAUACUUAGUGGCAGACGGGUGAGUAACAUGUGGGUAUCUGCCCUUUGGCCUGGAAUAACACGAGGAAACUUGUGCUAAUACCGGAUAAGUCUUUACGGAGAAAGCUUUAUGCACCAUUGGAUGAGCCCGCACUUGAUUAGUUUGUUGGUGGGGUAAUGGCCUACCAAGACUGUGAUCAAUAGCUGAUUUGAGAGGAUGAUCAGCCACAUUGGGACUGAGACACGGCCCAAACUCCUACGGGAGGCAGCAGUGGGGAAUCUUGCACAAUGGAGGAAACUCUGAUGCAGCGAUGCCGCGUGAGUGAAGAAGGCCCUUGGGUUGUAAAGCUCUUUCGUCGGGGAAGAAAAUGACUGUACCCGAAUAAGAAGGUCCGGCUAACUUCGUGCCAGCAGCCGCGGUAAUACGAAGGGACCUAGCGUAGUUCGGAAUUACUGGGCUUAAAGAGUUCGUAGGUGGUUGAAAAAGUUAGUGGUGAAAUCCCAGAGCUUAACUCUGGAACUGCCAUUAAAACUUUUCAGCUAGAGUAUGAUAGAGGAAAGCAGAAUUUCUAGUGUAGAGGUGAAAUUCGUAGAUAUUAGAAAGAAUACCAAUUGCGAAGGCAGCUUUCUGGAUCAUUACUGACACUGAGGAAUGAAAGCAUGGGUAGCGAAGAGGAUUAGAUACCCUCGUAGUCCAUGCCGUAAACGAUGUGUGUUAGACGUUGGAAAUUUAUUUUCAGUGUCGCAGCGAAAGCGAUAAACACACCGCCUGGGGAGUACGACCGCAAGGUUAAAACUCAAAUGAAUUGACGGGGACCCGCACAAGUAGUGGAGCAUGUGGUUUAAUUCGAAGAUACGCGCAGAACCUUACCAACACUUGACAUGUUCGUCGCGACUCUAAGAGAUUAGAGUUUUCGGUUCGGCCGGACGAAACACAGGUGCUGCAUGGCUGUCGUCAGCUCGUGUCGUGAGAUGUUGGGUUAAGUCCCGCAACGAGCGCAACCCUCACUUUUAGUUGCCAUCAUUAAGUUGGGCACUCUGAAAGAACUGCCAGUGAUAAGCUGGAGGAAGGUGGGGAUGACGUCAAGUCCUCAUGGCCCUUACGUGUUGGGCUACACACGUGCUACAAUGGUAUCUACAACAGGAAGCAAGACUGCGAGGUCAAGCAAAUCCUUAAAAGAUACCUCAGUUCGGAUUGCACUCUGCAACUCGAGUGCAUGAAGCUGGAAUUACUAGUAAUCGUGGAUCAGCGUGCCACGGUGAAUGCGUUCCCGGGUCU